rnacentral:pre_miRNA from 1 species
AUGUNACUCCCUCCGUCCCAAAAUUCUUGUCUUAAAUUUGUCUAAAUACGAAUGUAUCUAGUUACAUUUUAGUGUUAGAUACAUCCGUAUCUAAACAAAUGUAAGACAAGAAUUUUGGGACGGAGGGAAUACUGC